GACAGAGGUGCCAAGCGUUAGGCGGAAUCACUGGGCUUAAAGCGUGUGUAGGCGGAUCGUUAAGUACCUUGUGAAAUCCCACGGCUCAACCGUGGAACUGCUGGGUAUACUGGCGAUCUUGAGCCACCUAGGGGCGAGCGGAACAAGCGGUGGAGCGGUGAAAUGCGUAGAUAUCGCUUGGAACGCCAAUGGUGAAAACAGCUCGCUGGGGGUGUGCUGACGCUGGAGACACGAAAGCCAGGGGAGCGAACGGG
rnacentral:rRNA from 1 species